GCAUGGCUGGCCCUCUGCACUAACAACAGUAGAGUACUAAUCAACAGAAUGUAUGGCCUGAAUUGUGGAAGUUAUUUCUUCUUCAUCUGCCAGGACAUCCGUCAAAAUCAGGGGCAUGGUAACUAUGCCAGAGAGUAUAUUUUCGUACCCGAAGCAAAGAACUGGUCUGAGGCUCAGCAGUACUGUAACGAAAACUAUGAAAAGCUGGCGAAUAUUGACGGUUCUGAUCUGGACAACACCGUUCAUAAUGAGGAUUUUCCCAUCUGGAUUGGACUCCAUAGAGACGGUGGAUCAUGGAACUGGACUGAAAGCCCUUCAGAAUAUAAAAGCUGGGAAAUAAGUGAGCCGAGUUCCAACGGCGACU